rnacentral:tRNA from 1 species
GGGAGUAUAACUCAAUGACAGAGUGCUUGCCUAGUAUGCACAAGGUCCUGGGCUCAAAUCCCAGCAUACACA